rnacentral:rRNA from 1 species
UGCGUAGGCGGGCUAAUAAGUCAGUGGUGAAAUCUCUCGGCUCAACCGGGAAACUGCCAUUGAUACUGUUAGUCUUGAGUUCGGUUGAGGUAGGCGGAAUGUAUAAUGUAGCGGUGAAAUGCUUAGAUAUUACACAGAACACCAAUUGCGUAGGCAGCUUACUAGACCGACACUGACGCUGAGGCACGAAAGCGUGGGGAGCGAACAGGAUUAGAUACCCUGGUAGUCC